rnacentral:rRNA from 1 species
GACGAACGCUGGCGGAGUGUUUAACACAUGCAAGUCGAACGGAAAGGCCCUGCUUUUGUGGGGUGCUCGAGUGGCGAACGGGUGAGUAACACGUUAGUAACCUGCCCUUGACUUUGGGAUAACUUCAGGAAACUGGGGCUAAUACCGGAUAGGAGCUCCUGCUGCAUGGUGGGGGUUGGAAAGUUUCGGCGGUUGGGGAUGGACUCGCGGCUUAUCAGCUUGUUGGUGGGGUAGUGGCUUACCAAGGCUUUGACGGGUAGCCGGCCUGAGAGGGUGACCGGCCACAUUGGGACUGAGAUACGGCCCAGACUCCUACGGGAGGCAGCAGUGGGGAAUAUUGCACAAUGGGCGGAAGCCUGAUGCAGCAACGCCGCGUGCGGGAUGACGGCCUUCGGGUUGUAAACCGCUUUCGCCUGUGACGAAGCGUGAGUGACGGUAAUGGGUAAAGAAGCACCGGCUAACUACGUG